rnacentral:rRNA from 1 species
UACGUAGGGUGCAAGCGUUGUCCGGAAUUACUGGGCGUAAAGGGCUGGUAGGCGGCCAACUAAGUCGGAUGUGAAAUCCCCAGGCUUAACCUGGGAACUGCAUCCGAUACUGGAUGGCUUGAAUCCGGGAGAGGGAUGCAGAAUUCCAGGUGUAGCGGUGAAAUGCGUAGAUAUCUGGAGGAAUACCGGUGGCGAAGGCGGCAUCCUGGACCGGCAUUGACGCUGAGUGAGCGAAAGCCAGGGGAGCAAACGGG